AGUUCUGUAGAGAACCAGUCUGGAAGUAACAGAUUUCUGAAGGGGUAUUGCUGACUUCACUACCUUGAGCAGAUUUUGUCCCUUCUGCCACGUGCAACACUUCAUUAUCACUGUUCAAUCUUUCUAUACUUUUAACAGAAAUUGUCUAAUUUAAACACUACUGCAAAUGUCCAACUUAAUAUGGAUUGAGAUAAUUUUGUUCCUUUACCUCCGAUUUUUGGCAACUGUGCACAGCUAUGCCACAACUACACUGUUAUGCAGUUUAAAUAAAUUACGUGAUGCACUUUCUGCCAGCAUGUUUAUAUACAUUGGUUAGAAAUGGCUUAUAAAGUGGCCAACACAAACAGAACAAAUCCUAGAAUGUAAACUGAAGCUGCAAAGGUGUUUUUCUGUGUUGAAGGCUGUGUUCUACAAGCAGUGAGUCUUCAACAGACACUAAUUUAAAGCUGCAUUUCUCAUCACCUUUUCUAAAGACCAAAAUAAAAAGUUACACAUGUGGGGUGGUAUUUAUGACCAACUGCUUCUACUAGACUUUUGUACACAUGUGACAGAAGAGCGGACUGCACCACAAAUGAAGCUGCAUUAAAGAAGCUGAGUAUUCCAGAUGGAAGUUUAAAUACUGCCUAGAACUUUCAAAAUGAGUUGGACAAGGAGAAUAGCCUUGGCUAGGAUACAAAUCAAGAUAUGCUGAAUGGUUCCCAGAAUUACAUGUUAUGCAGACACUUCAGCAGUUUAACAAAUCGGUGUACAGAGACAGCACUGUUUCUGAAUGAAUAGGCGCAAGAAUGUUUCUCCAGUAAUUUUCUCAUACCCUCCACCACAGGAACUGAAAUUGCUGCUCAGUCUCAGCUGUAUAAGAUAUAAACAUGGACAUCUGCUCAUCAGUUUUUUUCAGGGAGGGGAUAUCACUGCACACGCCUCUGAAAUGCAUCAUGUUUUUCCUUCAACAGUGUGUCUUUUUUCAAUAUGAAUAACAAGACAAAUCUUAGUAAAGUGUUGAUGGCUUUUAUUGUUGGUAUUAAAUUAGCUGCCAAGCUAUCUCAGGUGUUUGCAUGUGGCUGCUUUUUUUCAAAUGUGCUAACCUUUUUGAUGCCCUGAUUCCCUGACUAGAAAAGGUCCAUAACAGUUCUGUGGUCUAACACUGCCUGACCUUGCUCCCUUUGAAUAAUACACACAGGGAGUAGUAAUGAUGUAAGCAGCCAUUCUUGCAUUGUGUUACUGAAUCCUACUACACUGUUAUACAGUAGUUAAGGUGUAAUGUAUCUCUGCUUUCACUGCAUAGUGAAGGUUACCUGCUUGAUUGUAUUUCCUUAUUCUCUUAAAUUCAGUGACAGUGAUUGUUCUACUAUUCAAAAUGUCUGUUGCAAGCACUCACUUUUUAAACUAUUUUUCUAAGCAGUACUUCCUAAAUCCCCAUCUCAUAUUCAUAAUAUUUAACUGCAAAUUUAAUAUCUCCAAGUGUUAAGCAUGCCGUCAUCAUACCUCUACAAUCAGUACCCCCAAGACAGUAUCAAACUACAGACCACUUGCAAACCUCUGCCAUUAUCAAAAAUAUUGAUCAACUUCUUUAUAAACAGUUACUCAAAUUUAUUAAAAUAUAUCCUGUCAUCUCAUAAUGACAGUCUCUACCCUAAAUAUAGUACAUAGAUAGCAAUAUUUGCACUAACCUCCCAAAUUUACUCACAUAUAAAAAAAGGACUAAUACAUGGUGCUGUCACUCGUUCAUUUCAUCUCUAACACAAACAAUAAGAAGGCUUGGGGUUUUGUUCAAAUGCCUUAAUACAUAGAAACACAUCAGGAUGGAUAGCAGCAUCUUUAAAUGCAAAUGAACUAACAGAUAGAGCUUACACACAUAGAUGUUCACAUCUCAAAAGCUAACUACAAAAUGGCAGCUGGGUUGCCAGCUGUCCAGAAUUAAGGGACACUGUCCAGAAAACAGAAAGAACAGCAUAUUGCCAGAAAAAAAUACCAGGAGAUUAAUUUUCUUUUAAUUAAAAAAAAAAAAAAACUUUUUUAUUUAUUUUUUUGAAGAACACCCUUUGCGUCUGGUCGCACACAGAAGCAGAAGACAAAAGCAGUCUUCAGCAUUUAUGUGAUUGAUUGUUUACGUCUUUGUCUUCCACACGUGUGGAAUUUGAAUUAUUGAAGACAUUUCAACUAUGAAGUGGACAAUGAAUGGACAUGUUUCAAAAAUGGUUCAGGUACUUAUGAAAUGUUGCAGUUUUACAUACUCAGUCCACGGUCUGUUUGCAUAUAUAGAGGAAGUAGAAUGUGGAAUUCCUAGUUAUACAGUAAUAUUUCAAAGUACUGUCAUUGGAUAUUAAGUAGUUAUGUUUAAGUUUCAGGCAAUAAAGAUACUAGGUCUGAA